CAACAGAAAUGAAAAUACUGGUGCGUGGAGAGCUAAAAUUCCCCAGCCUGCUUUCCCAAUUUCUUUAGAAGCUAUGCAUGCAUUUGUGAAGGUGGGUCUGUUUGCUGCCUUUUUCACCUGAUAUAUUGACAGAAAUGCCUGCAUCCUGUCCACUUUCCAUCAAGCAUUUGACUGAGGAAAUAGUACCUCUUCACUUACAGGCAUUCAAACAUAUCUUCCAGAGUGCAACGUGAUGUCGUGUGCACUAUGGGGACAACAGAACAAUCUCUGUUUCCUGAAAAUGUUGGUCAAUAUGACUUAACUUUCAGUUAGCAACAUGAUAAAGGGGGUUAUUUCUUGUACAAACCUGAAGACUGGCACGAGGUCACCUAUGGGAUUAGGCUUUGAGCAUGUGACAAAGUAAAAAAUCUGUCCUGAAGAUGGCUAUGGCUAACUUCAGCAAGGAAGGCAGGGCCCAGUUUGCAGGGACACAAGGAGGGUUGAUGCAGAAUCCUUGUGUACAGCACUCUGUUGUGCAGGGUUUUGUUUGGGUUAAUGUCAUACUAGAUGUGCUCAUGGAUUCAUCUGAGAAAGGUGCCUGGGAAAUUAGCAGAGGCUGCAGAACCUAUAUGCUGUUCUCAGAGUUCUUCCUCUGCCAUAAGUAUCAAAACUUGCUGAAAUAAAGACCAAGCUUACCUCCAAAGAUCCCAAGUCCAUGAGAAGAAACUUUGGACCAGGUUUGCAAUGUACUUAUCCUGGAAGGAAGAGCAGCUGCCAAGAGCUCACUGUUUCAACAUACAUCGGUAAGAAGAAGCAGUGCUUGGUCUCCCCCACAGACAGGCCUGAGGGAGCAUCCUCACAUCUGAAUUAGGCCCAUCAUUUUUAUUCUGACUAUAGUUUGCACUGGAUUUUGCUUCUUGGUAUUUCAAUUUUAAGCCCAUCCUUGUGAUUUUGUGUAAACAAUUGUUUACUUUCUGUGCCAAGAAUAUGCUAUGGUAUUUCUGAGAAAUGCACCCUUCAAUACAUGGCUUAAAAAAUAAAACAGCUGAGAAAGGGCGUGGAAGAUAUUUGGAUUCAGCUUUCAAAAGCCACUCUUAAUUUGACUGCUUUUGGGUCUGAACUGUUUCCUGAAUAAAAUGCAUAGCGAAAAAUAAACAGAAACAAAAGAAAGUAACCCCAUUGGGAAAUGGAGUGGUAAGACUCUGUAUAAAGAUGAAAGAAAAUAUUUCAGGAGCAUUUCUCUCCAUAGCUACAACUGAUGAGUGACAGUGGAAAACAUGACUGAGAAAGUAGCCUUAUUUCUGACAGUGACAAGUUCUGAUGCACUGUAUGGGUUUUAACCCUGUUCAAGUUUUGGAUCUCCCAAAAUAACCUCUUAAACACACUAGUUUUGACCUGGUGAGUCAAAGAGAAAACUGCAGAAGAACUGACCAAAUACUGAAGAAAAGAUUUUGAAAUUAAGAUUUAAGAAUUAACAAAAAAGAGUCUACAAAGCAAGAGAAAAAAUUGAUGUUUAGGCUGAAUUCACGAAGGAGGAAUAGCAGCUCAACAGAAAUACCAGGAAUGAAGACAUGAAAGUAGGAAGAUAAGCAAAGGUCUCAAAGUCACAGACAAGCAAUAACAUUAUCCUGGUGUGCAAGACACAGCACAAGGGCUUCUUCAGACAACCAAAAUACUCUCGGAAGGAAGAACAGGGAAGAAAGGGCAGGAGAGCUGAAAGUGUCCUCAUGAUUCGUGAUGACUGGAAAGUACACUAUUAAAAAAAAGCACUACUUCUUUAACAGCUCAAAGAGGAGCUCAUUAAUUUCUCUCAGAACAGUAGUACAUUGUGAGGGCUGAUGACAGUAUAUUCAUUCAGUUCCAGGGCAAAAGAAGUCCUGAACAGCAGUUCCAUAAGGAUCGUACCUAAUGAAAUUUAGUUUCCUGGAGGGUUCUGUCUUCUUGGUCCCCUGAAUCUUUAAUGAAGUUACACUAAAUGGAGUUACACUAAAUGGACUACACUAAUAUUAUUCAUCUAAGCUAAGAAUGUUAUGAAUGUGCCAGCUUUCAGUCAGUAUAUAUAUCUUAGUAGACAUGACAAAAUUCACCCAUCAGGUGAGAAGUUUUUUAAGGUGUGGGGCAAUGAAGCCUUGUUUCAAGCUGUCCUGGUUUUGUUAAAAACAAGUUUCUCUUUUAGUGAAUUUUUUUCUGUCAGCUAAAGCCUUCUUACUAACUGCACUUUCCUGAAAGUUAGCUACAUGUUUUGGUAGACACAGGAAUGUUAUGCAAGGUCAUUGGUAACAAUGCAUCCCACAAAAUGUGCAAGCAGGAGGUGACUGAAACUGAACCAACUGAUUACUCCAUCCCAUUCACGUGAUACUUUAUAUAAAAGCGGGAGACCACGAGGAUCUCAUCCCUUUUUCCUUAUGGCUGACAUUAGGAGAGGACCUUGCAAGUCGUCCCUGUGAACUGAGGCCUAGUGACAGACUGAAUCGAGUUCUGGUUGGCUGCAGAAUCCAGUCCAGAACUUCCAGGUGCUGGCCCUACAUCAGCUGGAGCAAUUGCCAGGACUUUCAAAAUUGCCUUACAGAAGCUUGCGGAAACUUGAGACAUCUAGCCAUCUACCAAAUUGGAUUGAAAUUGGCCAAAGGUCCAGAAAAUGUUCUGGGGAACAGACAGAUGUUUACACGAGGGAACAGAUUAUUAUUGGAUAACACAUGUUGCAUAAUAAGAGGGGGUUUCAAAACUGCUUAUUGUAAGGUAUGGCUGAGAUAUCACAGAGGAACAAUAUAUCUUAUACAUGCCUUGUUCUCACAGUAUUCUGU